rnacentral:rRNA from 1 species
GACGAACGCUGGCGGCAUGCCUAACACAUGCAAGUCGAACGAGACCUUCGGGUCUAGUGGCGCACGGGGGCGUAACGCGUGGGAACCUGCCCUUAGGUUCGGAAUAACUCCCCGAAAGGGGUGCUAAUACCGGAUAAUGUCUUCGGACCAAAGAUUUAUCGCCUUUGGAUGGGCCCGCGUUGGAUUAGCUAGUUGGUAGGGUACAAGCCUACCAAGGCGACGAUCCAUAGCUGGUCUGAGAGGAUGAUCAGCCACACUGGGACUGAGACACGGCCCAGACUCCUACGGGAGGCAGCAGUGGGGAAUAUUGGACAAUGGGCGAAAGCCUGAUCCAGCAAUGCCGCGUGAGUGAUGAAGGCCUUAGGGUUGUAAAGCUCUUUUACCCGGGAUGAUAAUGACAGUACCGGGAGAAUAAGCUCCGGCUAACUCCGUG